AAGUUGCUAGUAAUCACAGGUCAGCAUACUGUGGUGAAUACGUUCCCGGGCCUUGUACACACCGCCCGUCACACCAUGAGAGUUGAGAAUACCCGAAGCCCAUGUCAAAGUGGUCGAAGGUAGGCUUGAUGAUUGGGGUGAAGUCGUAACAAGGUACC
rnacentral:rRNA from 1 species